rnacentral:tRNA from 1 species
GUGGGUGUAGCUCAGUGGUAGAGCACAUGCUUAGCAUGCAUGAGGUCCUGGGUUCAAUCCCUAGUACCUCCA